rnacentral:rRNA from 1 species
GUAAGGAAUAUUGGGCAAUGGAGGCAACUCUGACCCAGCCAUGCCGCGUGAAGGAUGACGGCCCUCGUGGUUGUAAACUUCUUUUGUACGGGAAUAACCCUCCGAACGUGUUCGGAGCUGAAGGUACCGUAAGAAUAAGGAUCGGCUAACUCCGUGCCAGCAGCCGCGGUAAUACGGAGGAUCCAAGCGUUAUCCGGAUUUACUGGGUUUAAAGGGUGCGUAGGCGGAUUGAUAAGUCAGUGGUGAAAGCCUACAGCUUAACUGUAGAACUGCCAUUGAUACUGCCAGUCUGGAGUAUGGUUGAGGUAGCUGGAAUGUGUCAUGUAGCGGUGAAAUGCUUAGAGAUGACACAGAACACCAACGGCGAAGGCAGGUUACCAACCCAUUACUGACGCUGAGGCACGAAAGCGUGGGGAUCAAACAGGAUUAGAUACCCGAGUAGUCC